UCCUUUUUAUUGGACAACAAUCUCUGUUUAUAAAUACUCAACAUGUCUUCUUAGGUCAAAAUCAUAACAUAAUUGUCACCAAAAGAAAAGAAAAAAAAGAGAGAGUGUUUUAAUGGCAACGAGAGCAAGUCAGAGAUCAUCUUUUCGUGUUUUUUCUAAAGCUAUGAAUCGUUUCGAUUUUUCACUGAGUUAGUGUGUGAUCCGAAACAAUUUCGUAUGAAUCUUUCGCUUUCAAGUUUAGUUUCGUUUUUUGUUUCCAUCAUCAUGAAGUUAACAAGAUCUUCAAUCAAUAAAUCCAUCCGUCUCUCCAUAGUGGCCGUGGCGGUGGUGUAGAGGCAACAACGUCGUCAAGCCCCUGGAGAGAACAAGGCUCAAUCGUCGGGGUCAAAAUCGAUUUGGACACAGAGUCACACCAUAUCAGUGAGCAAAACCAUCCAAUCGUUCGACUACUCACAAUCACUCAACAAGAAGAACUAUCUCAAAAUCCUCUGCUUCCUUGAUCUCUUCUUCCAAGGUACCCUAGAAUUAUGGACAGCAUGAUCAUCAACACUUAUGCGCUUGGAAGUGAAAUUGAAGACUUUGAAGUUGGCCCAGUUAGUGCGACGACCCGACGACCCAAUAACGUGGCACUAAACCCAAAUCUGUUAUUCGCCAAAUCAAAUUCGUUCAAAUUGUCUUCUAACAAAAACCCUCCGAUCACCAUCAGAUGUUCUCGCGUUGACUCCUCCCGUCCUCCGUCAACGAAACCCAAACAGAUGACGUCAUCAAUGACACUCACCAUCGAGUUAGCUCCAAAGAUCAUUUGAUACAGAAAUUUCAUGGAGCAUAGAGGACACACAAUCUUCAAGAUGAGACAUUAAAUAGCAUUACCUUUGUACACUUGUGACUUGUCCGAGUAAAUUUAGCCUUUGUAACCGUCCCCAUAAAUGUGUCUUAUUUCAAUUUCCCAUCAUAUACUUUCUUUUCCUUUAUUAUAUUAAAACAUCAUUUAUCAUC